AAAGUGAUGAGAGCUUUUGUCAGAUAAGUCAUUCAAUCAAAACUUGACAAGAAAAAGCUCUCUUUUUUUCAUCAAAAUUUUGAACUUAGUCUCCCUCAUCUCUCUUUGAUUUUUGUGCCAUACACUGAUUAAAUACACUUUAGUUAGUGUGAUACUUAGGUCUUCGUGGAAGGCUGUAUAGAAGAGUGAUCAAAUUAAUAGUUCAAGUUUUAAGUUCAUCACUUGGAAAUACUCUGCUGCAGAAAUAGAAUCAAAGGCUAGAGUGAUUGAACAAAAAGAAUAACUUUAUUCUGCUACAACCAAUGAUUGGCUAGUAUAAAUCAUAAGGUUGAUGAAGAAAGCCAGACCAUUAUUUUGUGGAGAUCUCUCCCAAUCACAUAUCAAAAAGUCAAAGGUCCCAUCAAAUAUGGUAGAGAUGUGAUUGCGUUGGAGGAUGUUCUUGCCACACUCAAAUCGAAGGAUUUUGAAUUACAAUUGGAAAAAUAAUCCAAGGAGGAAGAAGUGUAUUUGGAAAGAGAGAGAUCCCCCAAGAAAGUAAGUUCAAAAAGUAAACACCAUCACUCUCAAUCAAGAUCGAAGUCCAGAGAGAAGGAAACUCGAAAGUGUUACUUUUGUGGAAAGUCUGGUAACUUGCAAAUAUUUUGCAAGAAGUUCAAGGAGCACAAGACUUCAACAACAAUCACAAUAAAGAUAGGAAGGACAACCAACAUCAUCACCAUAAGAAGGAUUCAACUGGAGUCACGGAAGAUAGUGACGACUGCUCAAUGGAUGAAGAAUUAUUCUCCAUCUCAGAAUCCUCAAUGAGCAGGGAGUGGAUUCUUAACUCUGGAUGCAUGUAUCACAUGUGUCCAAGUCGAGAAACAUUUUUUGAUCAUAGAUCAAUUGAUAGAGGUAAAUUUCUAAUAGUAAAUGAUCAUUCAUGUAGGGUCAUUGGAACUGGAAAGGUUACCAUCAAACAGUAUGAUGGUGGAUUUAAAGUAUUGAUGAACGUAAGGAACUUUCUAGAGUUAAGAUAAAACUUCAUAUUACUGGGUGCACUUAAAGAUGAGGGUUAUAGAUACAAGUCCAUGCAAAGAAUCUUGAGAAGUACCAAAGAUUUCCUGAUAGUGAUGAAAGGGGAAAAGAUUAAUGGUUUAUAUGUUGUCCAAGGAGAAACUGUUCUAGCAGGAGAGGCGAAUUUGGUAAAAGGGCUAGAAUCGAAUAUGUAGUUGUCGCAUCAUAGACUUGGGCAUAUCAGUUAACAUGACCUUAAAGAAAUGCACAAAUAAGGUAUAAUUAAAAAUUUAAAUUCUUAUGCCUUACCAUUUUUGUGAAGCUUGUGUUUUAGGGAAAUAACAUAAGUUGAAAUUCACUCCAGCAAGGCAUAUAACUAAGAAGAGACUUGAAUAUGUGCAUGCUAAUCUUUGGGGGCCAUACAAAGUGUCGACUCACUCUGUGGUCUCCGGAAGAAGGUUCAACAAUGUUGUCAUUUUCUUCAUCAUCAUCAUCAUCUUCGUCAUGAUCAUCAAUAAAACUAUUGAUGGUUUUGAGCAAUUCAAGAGAUCUCUGGCACUGCUACACAACUUGCAAGGUCUUCCUCUUAAUGAGUACACGAUCGUUCUUAGAAUCAUUGUUAUUAACAUUUACUAUGAUCGAGGGUUUAAAGUCUAAGAAAUCAACAACCUCCAUCCCAACUUGAAUGAAAUUUUUUAGCCCCAAAUUAGAAAUCAGAAACCCUAGUAUAGAAAAAUUUGAAAAGAAUUAGAGUUGCAACCUUGGAUCUAAGAGUAGAAGGUUGUAAUCUUUGUAGAGUUAUAGUUGUUUGAGUCGGAGCCCUUUGCUUGGAUCUCGCAGAAGAAAAAGAAAAGAACUGCGGUUUGAUGGUUGAAGAAGAAAAAGGAAAAAAAGAAAAAAAAAGAAAAGAAAAAGAAAAAAUUAUUUAUUUAAUUAUUAUCUUAUUUUUUAAAUUAUUUUUAUAAUAUUUUAAUAAUUAUUACGUGUACCACUAAAAAUUUGUCACGUGUACACAUGUCUACACGUGGCUAGCAGUGUCGGACCCAUCAUAUCUCAUAUUUUUCCUUUAAUUAAUCAUAUGUUACAUGUCCCAGCCGUAUGUUUUAAUUAAAAUAUUUUUAUAAUUUAAUAAUUCAAAUGAUGUAAUGACAAUGGGUAAUAUAAAAUGAUGAUGAUAUCAAUUUUGAAUGAUCGGGAUAUACAAAAGAGUGUUAUAAUGUCAGACUUCUAUUAUAAAAAAGAAAUUUUAAAAUAUAGACGUACACUUAACUUAUCAUAUUAUUAAAAAAAAAUUGUAUAAAAUGUUAGUAAUAUUAAUAUAUUGCUUGAUUUAUUUUAUAUGUACAUAGUUAUACAUUUUUUAGUAAGAUAAAAUGAUAGCGAGUUAGUGAAAUAUGAUGAACGAGUGAUAUAAAAUGAUGAGAAUAAUUUUAAAUGAUC